GUGAAACUGCAGAGACUCACAGUAACACAGAUCUACAGCUCAGAGCACAGACAACAUUAACACACACCUGAUCUGACCUAGUCAACAUGGAAAAACACCAGCUUCACCUGCUUCUCAUUUUAAUUCUGUCUUCAGGUGUGAUGACUGCAGACCAGAUUAGUCCAAAUAAAGAUGCAGUUGUCAUGAAGGAAGAUGAGACUGUGACCCUCAGCUGCUCAUAUGACACAAGCAGCAGUUAUGUUAGACUUUAUUGGUUCAGACAGUAUCCUAAUGGAGAGCUUCGCUACUUAAUAUACAAGGCUGCACGGUCAAGUGGUGGAAGUGGGAGACCCGCUGAUCCUCGCUUUGAGUCGACUACAUCAGAUAAAUCCAGUGAACUCACUAUUACUGGUGUAACUCUGUCAGAUUCAGCUCUCUUUUAUUGUGCUCUAAGAGUCGGAGCCCAGUGAUACAAAGUCUA